GGGGGUGAACGGUCUCGACUUCGUUUGUUGAGCCAGGGGAAGCGGGCCGAGGAAGCCGGGAUGAUCUCGUUAACCACAAAAACCCGUGCAACAUACAGACGCAGAUAAAACUUCGUCUGAUUACCGCCUCGCUGCCUAAGCGAGCCAAGUAAUCCGUUGGCCUGAGCGCGCUCCCCGCCUCAGAAUCCAGCGUCGAUAGGGGGGCUUACUAACCGAAGUUGUUGUGGCUAUCGGUAAGGAAAUCUUUCACAACUGAGUCUGUCGGUUACUAGCGUGCGAGAGAACCGGGACAGAGAAAACGAAUAGCGCGCUACGCCCGUAGAAGCCCUGUUUCAGUGUCGAAGGACCCGGGUUCGAUUCCCGGCACCUCCACAA
rnacentral:tmRNA from 1 species